CAGCAGCAGGCCAGACAUCAAGGUAGGGAUGAUGUCUGAGCAUGCCAAUGGCUGGGAGAGGAGCCUGCACUUCCUUUGAAGUUCCAGCAUCAAAGAUGACGAAUAACUCUUUUCUCCAUGUUCCAGUUUCACACAUCAUCUGAGCAUCCUUUGGCAGCAACAGUUGGACCAAACCUUGGAGCAGCAGCUGGUAUAUGAAGACAAAGGCAAAUAUGAAGACAAAGUAAAAGCAGCCAUGCGUUUGCUUUCAAGAAACACAGGAGGCACUGUGUUCAAAAACCUUCCAGGGCUAGGCUUUGGGAUACAGCAAGCAUCUUAGCAUCUACGGUACUUAUAGAAGAUUUCUAAAACCAAAGGUGAAAAUCCAGAACAGUAGGAGCUGGAAUGACAGGUCGGUGUUUCCAAGGGGUGAAGGUUCUCCCCCAGUGUCCGAGUUUGCAGCCUAUCUCACAGACCCAUCCGCCCUGUGCACGGUGACCGUGGCUUCCCCUCUGCUGAGGGCUUCUGUGCAUUUCCAGAUGUUUGCACAGGAGGCUUUUGCAAAAUGUUUUAUUGUCUACCAGAAAUAAAAAUUAAUAUUGACCAGAAUUUAUAACCAGAGAGUCAAUUCCAGAUCAUAUUACAUUUUGAAAUCAGUUUAAUCCGGAAAGAUUUUGGGAUUCUUGGCACUAAGAGUUUGUCUUGCAGUUGAAAUCACUGACUAUUCUGCGUACAUGGAAAUGAUUCCAUUUCUUUGUGGUACACAUGUAGAACUGUCUCAUGCUAUUGGAGAUUUAAUUUGGGCAUUGAUGUAAGAAUAGACCCCUUUCAUUGCAUGUGUACUAACUACUGAUAUUAUUUGUGAUUCAAGCAUUUCUGGCAAUUUGAAGUGAUCCGAUGAUUUUAAAAUCAUUCUUAAUUUCAUAAGUCUACUCCUUUAAUCUCUUUCAAAUUACUGAAAAUGUAAGGCAUUCCAAACAUUUCUGAUUGUUCUUCACUGCUUUGGCCCCAUAAAGCCAAUCUUUUCUGAAGUUAAGCACUUAAAAAUUUGAAGUACUCCAAUAAAUUUAAAUUGGCAUAUUCUGUGCAUAUCAAUUGAGAAUUAUUAGAGCAUUAGUGCCUAGGAGUGAUAGCUGAGGGCAUGCAAACCAGUUCAUACAUUGAUUUUUAAUGACUUCUUAUUGAUUCCAUGCUUUUUAAACUUGAUACCCUUAGGUUGCCUCUUACAUAGAGUUAACAGAUUUGUGAUGAUACACUAAGUUUGGAAGAGGUACCUUUUUCCUCUUCUGCUUUUUCUUUUCUCCUUAUGGUUUAUUAUUAUAACUUUGUUCAGAUGCAAAUAGCAAAUACUUUGUGGCUUAAAAAAGGGUGAAUGUGGUUUUAAUGGCAUACGGCUGCUCAUGUUUUCCUUGCUUAUCAGUAGACAAGGUUUACGUUCAAACUUUUAAGGGUCUCUCCUACACUCAGUGUAUGCACUCAGUGCUCACCAGCAAUGAUGGAUGCCCUAGGCCUGCACUGACAGGAGAAACAGGUAUCUUAGUAAUUUUUAAAAGUCAAUCUUAAUUUGUUGGACCAAGAUAUUGUAGGUGUCAUAAAGCACAAAGUGAAAAUGUACAUUAAUACUUUUACAUUUUUGAAAAUUGUUGAUUUAUAUUAUGAAACACACACACCUCUGCUCUGUAUGUAUUUCCACUGUGUUUAUUAAUACUUUUGUGUUGACCAAUUAACCAACAUGUUGUCAGUGCAGCCUGCGCUGGUGAUAACUGGGGGAAGUGGGUACCAUACUGCCAUGGUGGCCACCAUCCUUUGCAGAAGGAGGAAGGCUGGGGAUGGUGCCCAGGCACAGGGGAAUGCCAGAGAGAGCCCUGAUGGAGCGGCUGCCCUGGGCUGGCUGCAGGGCAGCUGAUGGUAGUGCGGGAUGUGCCCAACUGAUGCAUCAGGAAGGUUUGGGGAAGAACCACUUGGAAACAGUUACACCACAGCCCUUCCUUGGGUGUGAGAUAUGUUUUUUCCACAGUUUCCCUUCAUGGAGUGUAACAGGGCAAGUGAGAAUAUUUCUAAUAGAUUCAAUUCUUGUGGGUUUUUCAGUGCUUCUCCCCUGCUGCUUGGGCUGUGUUGUGUGAGCUGUUUUAGGAGGCAGUGGUUCCAGUUACAUUUUGUGGGGAACAAAAUGCUCACACUUCAUUGCUGUGACACCAUUGCUUGUGGUACCCUUGCUGAGGAUCCUGCCAGAAAGCCUGCUGACCAUCACACGCAGGUGUCCCUCUCUCCCCCCCACUAGACGAGAUCCCCUCCGGCUGCGGCUAAGGCACGUAGCAGUCUGAAGAGACAUUAAUUGCUGCUAACUGUGAUGAGCACUUCUGUGUUUAGGCUUUGUUUAGGGCAAAUUCCUCUGCAAUUGCAUUGUUGGAAGCCGCGGGUCUGUUAAAGUCGGAGUUAUUAGGCCAUGUGCUUUCUGUGUGUUGUCAUAGUCGGAAAAACACCAGUGCAAACGUCUGUGCUGGGCAGAGGAAGUGUUAAGUGAAGAAUAAAAACAAGCCCAAAUUCCCAUUUGGAAACUGCAUGCCUCAACAAAUACCACUGUUCAUAGCAAGUUAUUAGCUUCUUGGUUGUAAUUCUGGUCCUUUGCAAAAGAGAGGUGGAAAAAGCAUGUAAAAGAGAUUUUUGAUACUUCACGGUAUAUUGAAUGAACAGCAGAAAGCUCCCCAGUCUGCCCAUUUCCAUUUACAAUUCGGACGUGGUUGAGGAAACACUUCCAUCUCUUUUCCCAUGUGAUUUGUCAUGUCUUCUCGUGGCAGCACCCUGAACACACCAAAAUGCACCUGAAUAACACACUCUUGGGUUACAAAUCUGAAAAGUCCCUGUUUUUCUCAGCUGAGCUAUGUAUGAGUGACCUGUAAGAAGCCCUUUUCUCCUUCUGCAUAGGACGGGUCUCCACUGUGGGCACUACGAGGGCUCGCUGGUGGGCAGGAGCUGGUCAUCUUCCACAGGGUACCAAGGAAGGAAGGAUGGCCUGUCCCUGGGCGAGAGGGCCGCCAAACCUCAGCAGGCUGGCAGGGGAUUACCCCCCUGAAAGUAGGAUGAGAAAGUUGGAAUUACAGUUAAAUGCCUUCUGGGAGGCUGAGAUGGUAGCAGAUCAACCAUUUCAGCUUCUCCCGCACAGCUCUCACCCGUACGUGUAUCUGGGACGUACUGGUGUACCUGGACAUCACCCCUCCCCGCACCUCUGGGCUGCGGCACCCGGCAGAUGUGCCCAGAAGGGGCCAAUGUCUUCCAGAAUGCUGGGAAUUUCCACAGCUACGAUAUGCUGUGAAACCAUCUGCAUUUUUAACAAAGUUCAGUGUGAUUGUGGUUUUGUCUUUUAUGUUGACUUUCUAAAGAUACUCCAGAAUUUCCCUCAGGAAUCUUUAGUGAAUCUGUGGAUUUCAAAUUAUUAUUGUAACAUAUUACAGGACAAUUAAUUUGUAAGCACUGUUACCUGUCCUAGAAAGCAGAUUCUGAGAGGAAUUAUUUUAUCUUUAUAAUUUAAUGUAUCUUGUAAUGAAAACUAAUCUAUGUGGUUCAAAUUCAGACAUUAAAACAAGUUAAAGGGGUCAGUAUAUACAAUAAAUUUCCCUUUGCCAAUUUACUUCAUUAAUUUAGACAUUGCCUUUUCACUUUAACUCAUUAAAACUUUUUUGCCAAGUUUACUUAUCUGUGUUAAGGAUACAAUUAAUAUUAUAAUUUUUAAUUAUGCAGUUGGUUUUAUCAGAGCCAAAGUGUUUCCUUAAGUGUGAAUAUCAAAAUAGAGUCCAUAUUUUUUUAAGAAAGUGAAGCACUGCAAUUUCACUAAUUCCUUAAUAACACAAAUAUUUAUGUAUCUUUCUCCUUACUGUUUAUGCGUCAAUAGCUAUGUUGUUUUAUUUUAUUUUAUAACCUUAGCAUAAUAUACUACUGAAAGCUAUGUAUUGUACUACUUAAUUCUGUACCACUCAUUCUGAUUUAUGGCAUCAUUUUGUUUCCAGUUCAUUCCUUAUCUUCAAAAGGCUUGAUCCAAAACUCAUCAAAUUCAGAGGAAUAGAUCCCAGUGGGCUUUGGAUUAGUCUAGUAGGGUGAAACUGUGGACUUGACAAAGUUUGCAUUACAUGUGCAGCUAUGCAGUAGUGAGAUGACUUGAUAGAUUUCUAAUUCAGCUACUUCUAUUUAGAAGCAAGUUCUUGAGUAUCCUGACCAUGCACUUGAAAUUUAAGAGACUGUUUUAGUUGCAUAUAUUCAUCCAUUUUCUUACUAUGACAUUUGAGAAUACAUUUAUUUGCCAGUUUGAUUUUAUCAUCAUUAUGGAGGACUCAUGUUUCUAAUUUCUCCUACAGGCUCUUGAAUUGUUAAUGUUAACUCCUACUGAACCCAAUCUUGUUUUCUAACAGAGGGAUACCAUUCUGAACUUGUAUUGAUGCUGAGCUGUUAAAAAUAUGUUCUUCGGGAAUGACAGGUUUACAAGUCAUAAUAAAGUACAGCUCAUCACAAAAGGAUGGAAAAGCAUUAAUGCAGAAGACAUCUGGUAAAUAAUAGUACAAUGUAUUUAUCUUGUUAUUUCUUAGUUAUAGAUGUAUGGAGUGAUAGAUAUAGAAUUAUGAAAUUGAUUUAAGUUCUUCAGUGCAGCAGAAGCUGUUUUGUCAUCUUCAGUGCUCUUGCUUUUCUUUUUCACCUGACAUUGUUAAAUUGGAACAACCUGGACAUAUCUUCCAUUAUAUACCAGCUAGAACAUUCCUGGGUUUGCCAUUAACUUGAUAAUUCCUAGUAUUCUGGCUGAUUACGUAUAUGGACUGCUGCACAUGAGAUUCGUUUUAUUAAAUAAAUACAGAAGGAAUGUGUUAAUAUGAAAUGAUUGUAACAGAUACCACUAGAUAAUAAUGUAUGCUACAAGCUACCUUAAAAUGUAUUUUUGAUAUAUAGCUGCGCUGCCUGAUACAUAGUUAUUGUGCAGCUGAUUAGCUAUGGUGAGAAAUUACUCAUUCCCUUGUAUUAACUACACUGUUUAACUACACUGUUUCCACCAAUCAGUAUGAAGUAUGCCAACUUUGUUUAGCCUGUGCACUUGUGCAAUGAUGAACAAGUAAUGCAUAAAACAAACCCUCCUACCUAAUCAAACAUUCCUCAGAGAUUUGAAAACAGAAACAAAGGGUAAAUCCAUUCGUAGAUUGUAAUGGUAAAACAAAAUAAAGUUUGACACAUGUAUAUGGAAAAUAUGAACACAUGAUGUGAAUAUUUUUUUUAAACAACAACAUGUUUGAAUUAUUAAUAAAUGCAAAAAAUAUGUUUUAACACAAUAUGGAACAAUUGGAAGGAUAUAUUUCUUUAGAAUCACAGGGUCAGGAAAGAUCUCUAUUGAAUACAAACAUUACACAUGUUUUUUUCCCCUCUCAGUUUGCAUUUUAGCCUUCUCAAACGUCUCUCUCAUCAUGAAACACAGCCAUGGUUAUAGUUGGGAGAGUUUCUCUUUUUCAUCCUUGAGCCUGCAGUACAAUCUUCAAUCUCUGAGUAUAUAAUAAACGAAGUUUGUUAACCUUCAGGGUGCGAAACCCAUUUUUCUCUUCUUGUCCUAGGGUGUUAGGUGUUGAGGAUAGCUGAUGAGCAGUUCUUUAGGGAGGACUGUACUGCUAUCCAAGAAAGAGCUUACCUUUAAUUUUGUCAUAUAUCCUGGUUGCCACAUUAUUUGAUUUUAAGAUAAUUGAUGGAUCUCUUUAUGGGUAUAUUUUUUCUUAGUCAUCAAGAAAGCUCGAAAUAUUUGAUAAGAGUGAUUUUAUUAGAGAGUAGUAAAUAUCGACAGAAUGAGAUACCAGAAAGGUGGUUUUUUAUUAUUUUGUUU